GACCCGUUUUCCUUGUUUAGAGGUUACAAAUCCCCAUGAAUAUCAACAAAUCUGCAGGACCUACAGUGAUUUUAACUCACUAUGUUUUUUGUUGUCCUCAUUUUGCGCUCUAUUUAUGUUGACAUGAGUGCAGAAUAGAGUUGUCUAUUUUAAUUAGCACGACCAGAAUGCCGCAGUUGCCAAAAAAUGCACAGACAAAUUCAGAUCUAAAAACCAUUGAUUUGUAAAUGUUCUAAAAAUAUGGAGAUAUGUACGGAAAAUCGGAAAAUAUGAAAUUUACCGAUUAUACAUGUUUAAGUCCAGUGGUACGAGUAUGAGUAACAGUAUAUCUUAAAUUCUAACUCACCUUUCCAGUCAGAUGUUUGUGAAAAUGUCAAUCCUAUAGUCUGUAUCUUUAGGUAUUUAAAUAUAAGUAAACAAAAUCUACCAUCAAAUGGCUCCUUAAGCCAGUUGACGGUAGAUGAAAACAUUACACGAUCAAAUAAUGUAGAUUAAAGUCAAGUCGUUCAGUGCCAGAUCCAGGCGGUUUUGUAUUUGGUUGGUUAACCAAUAAAUGUUAUAACUAUCCGAAAAUGUAAAUAUUAUUUGUUUACUUUUAUUUAAAUACCUAAAGAUACAGAGUAUUCUAGGGACCAAUAGCGCGCGUGAUGCGAACUCAUCAACCAAUCGCGUUGUAGCAGUGUCACACCGCUGUACUGGCCCCUGUCAUGCUUCAUUAUUAUUGCCCGUAUAGCCAGUCCUAUGUCAAUGCAAUUGAGUAAGGUUAAAUACGUUGGAAAGUGCGUCUGCCGAGUAAGAAAAUAAUAUUGAGAAGUCAAUAACUGGAACUGUUUGUGUUCGGCUGACGCACAGUACCUAGUGAAGAGAAAAUAUAUUAGUAAUAUUAGAUAGGUAUGAAAUGAAUAAAUGAAAUGCAAUACUUUAAUUUAUUAUUUUUUAUUCUCGUGUAAUUUCUUUAUAAUCCGUGUAGAAAAUGUGCAAAUAAUGUGACAAUAACAACUGAAAUUAAUAAGCGAAAUACCAUAUUUAAUACUAUCAAGAAUCAAUAUUAAAUUGGAUUCCAUUUAAUUUCAGAAAUACAUUUUAUAAUGUCAAAGAAAGUUAAUGAAUUUCCGUUAUGUUUAGUAAUAAAAAUAUUAUAUAGAAAUGCUUUUAUAGUAACA